GGGAGCAAAACAAAGAACCCUGAAAAGGGACAAUUUAGGCAACACCUUUAAAAGCUGAAGUGCAUUUUACCUUUAUGUGGUCGAUGAUUCUGAGCCCUGUUCUUAGUCACGUCUUGAUCACAACAAAGAAAACCUCUGGAGUGCUUUUAGAUGUUCUUUUCCUCUGGACACUUUCUUGAGGUAUCCUUGAGGUUUUCUCACAGCAAAAGGUGUGUCUGUGUCAGGGCAUGGAACACGACACUGGAGCAGCCAGGACAGGGCCAGGAACCCCUCAGAGCCUGUGAGGAGUAAAAAUUGCAUCAACUUCACUCCAGCUACAUCAGGGAAAUCAAGAGAAAAGCCUUUGUUCCCUGUGGUGCUGUUUGAACUCACACACUUUCUUCUGGGGAAGUUGAGAUUUUCUGGAGGAUUUUCUUAGCAGGAGACCAAGAACUCGUCCCUUGGAAGGAAAAAGCAAAAGGAAAAGCCCUUGCUUUGAUCCGUGAAACAAGGCCACAAAAGAAUGGUAUAUUACAGAUUUACAAACACAGAGAGAAUCUUUCAAACUGAACUGUAGAUAACCUGGCUCUGUGAAGAAACUUCACCACGUCUUGUGAUGAGAGCCCAGUGUGAAAACCAAGCCCUGGCUGCAACUGUCCUGGGAAGAUGGAAUGUACUGGGGAGAGUAGUUACACUUAACAAGAAGAAGAGAAGCUCUUAGCGCUAGCACAGCUGUGGUUUUAUGCCUGCCUCUACUGC